rnacentral:rRNA from 1 species
UAAAGCGCGCGUAGGUGGUUUGUUAAGUUGGAUGUGAAAUCCCCGGGCUCAACCUGGGAACUGCAUUCAAAACUGACUGACUAGAGUAUGGUAGAGGGUGGUGGAAUUUCCUGUGUAGCGGUGAAAUGCGUAGAUAUAGGAAGGAACACCAGUGGCGAAGGCGACCACCUGGACUGAUACUGACACUGAGGUGCGAAAGCGUGGGGAGCAAACAGGAUUAGAUACCCAGU